UACGGAGGAUGCAAGCGUUAUCCGGAAUGAUUGGGCGUAAAGAGUCCGUAGGUGGUUAUUCAAGUCGAUUGUUAAAGAGCGAGGCUUAACCCCGUAGAAGCAGUGGAAACUGAAUAACUAGAGAGAGGUAGGGGUAGAGGGAAUUCCCGGUGUAGCGGUGAAAUGCGUAGAGAUCGGGAAGAACACCAGUGGCGAAAGCGCUCUACUGGGCCUCAUCUGACACUGAGGGACGAAAGCUAGGGGAGCGAAAGGG
rnacentral:rRNA from 1 species